rnacentral:snRNA from 1 species
CAGCCUUCUUUGCCAUUUGGCUUGGAUUAAGGGUAUUCUGUUCAUCUUCAGCUUAGUAGCUGAGAGGCAUCCUACGGGGUGUCAUAAAGAUAACUAAUUUUUGGGCUCGGCCUUGGGAGCGCUGAGCUCAGCUCAUCUUCUCGGGCACAGUGUCGCCUCUAUUGCACUGACUGGGGCUGACGCGAAUGAUC